rnacentral:rRNA from 1 species
UACGGGGGGAGCAAGCGUUGUUCGGAUUUACUGGGCGUAAAGGGCGCGUAGGCGGCCACCGCAAGUCGACUGUGAAAUCUCCGGGCUUAACUCGGAAAGGUCAGCCGAUACUGCGGGGCUAGAGUGCAGAGGGGGCAACUGGAAUUCUCGGUGUAGCGGUGAAAUGCGUAGAUAUCGAGAGGAACACCUGCGGCGAAGGCGGGUUGCUGGGCUGACACUGACGCUGAAGCGCGAAAGCUAGGGGAGCGAACGGG